GAAAUGCAUGGGUGGGAAAUCAGUGUGAAAUUCACUGGCUGUACCUGCAACCGUAAAGUCGGAGCGCCACCCAGUUA
ncrna:unclassified sequences AdoCbl variant RNA